CCUACGGGAGGCAGCAGUGAGGAAUAUUGGUCAAUGGACGCAAGUCUGAACCAGCCAUGCCGCGUGCAGGAAGACGGCUCUAUGAGUUGUAAACUGCUUUUGUACGAGGAUAAACGCAGAUACGCGUAUCUGUCUGAAAGUAUCUUACGAAAAAGGAUCGGCUAACUCCGUGCCAGCAGCCGCGGUAAUACGGAGGAUUCAAGCGUUAUCCGGAUUUAUUGGGUUUAAAGGGUGCGUAGGCGGUCGGAUAAGUUAGCGGUGAAAUCCCGAGGCUCAACUUCGGAAUUGCCUCUGAUACUGGUAGGCUAGAGAGUAGUAGCGGUAGGUGGAAUGUAUGGUGUAGCGGUGAAAUGCAUAGAUAUCGCGCAGAACUCCGAUUGCGAAGGCAGCAUACCGGCGCUAAACUGACGCUGAGGCACGAAAGCGUGGGGAUCGAACAGGAUUAGAUACCCGGGUAGUC
rnacentral:rRNA from 1 species